rnacentral:rRNA from 1 species
GACGAACGCUGGCGGCGUGCUUAACACAUGCAAGUCGAACGGAAAGGCCCUGAUAUUGUGGGGUGCUCGAGUGGCGAACGGGUGAGUAACACGUGAGUAACCUGCUCUUGACUUUGGGAUAACUUCAGGAAACUGGGGCUAAUACCGGAUAGGAGCUCCUGCUGCAUGGUGGGGGUGGGAAAGUUUCGGCGGGCGGGGAUGGACUCGCGGCUUAUCAGCUUGUUGGUGGGGUAGUGGCUUACCAAGGCUUUGACGGGUAGCCGGCCUGAGAGGGUGGCCGGCCACAUGGGGACUGCGGUACGGCCCAGUCGCGUACGGGAGGCAGCAGUGGGGAACAUUGCACAAUGGGCGGGAGCCUGUGGAGGCGGCGCCGCGUUCGGAAUGACGGCCUUCUGGUUAUGAACCGCUGUCGCUUAUGACGAAGCGUUAGUGACGGUAAUGAGUAAAGAAGCACCGGCUAACUACGUG